rnacentral:rRNA from 1 species
UUGAAACUCAAAGGAAUUGACGGGGGCCCGCACAAGCGGUGGAGCAUGUGGUUUAAUUCGAAGCAACGCGAAGAACCUUACCAGGUCUUGACAUCUUUUGACAAUCCUAGAGAUAGGACUUUCCCUUCGGGGACAAAAUGACAGGUGGUGCAUGGUUGUCGUCAGCUCGUGUCGUGAGAUGUUGGGUUAAGUCCCGCAACGAGCGCAACCCUUAUUGUUAGUUGCCAGCAUUAAGUUGGGCACUCUAGCAAGACUGCCGGUGACAAACCGGAGGAAGGUGGGGAUGACGUCAAAUCAUCAUGCCCCUUAUGAUCUGGGCUACACACGUGCUACAAUGGACGGUACAACGAGUCGCAAGACCGCGAGGUUUAGCAAAUCUCUUAAAGCCGUUCUCAGUUCGGAUUGUAGGCUGCAACUCGCCUACAUGAAGUCGGAAUCGCUAGUAAUCGCGGAUCAGCAUGCCGCGGUGAAUACGUUCUCGGGCCUUGUACACACCGCCCGUCACACCAUGAGAGUUUGUAACACCC